AACGUAGGGGGCGAGAGUUGUCCGGAAUUACUGGGCGUAAAGGGCGUGUAGGCGGCCAAAUAAGUCAGUCGUGAAACCCGCCGGCUUAACCGGCGGCUGUCGAUUGAAACUGUAUGGCUUGAGUGCAGAAGAGGGGAGUGGAAUUCCCAGUGUAGCGGUGAAAUGCGUAGAUAUUGGGAGGAACACCAGUGGCGAAAGCGGCUCCCUGGCCUGUAACGGACGCGGAGGCGAGAAAGCGGGGGUAGCACACAGGCUGCGAUAACACCGUAGUCC
rnacentral:rRNA from 1 species